GGUGAGAUGUCCGAGUGGCUGAAGGAGCAAAUUUGGAAGGUUUGUAUAUGGCAACGUAUCGAGAGUUCGAAUCUCUCUCUCACCGCCA
rnacentral:tRNA from 1 species